UCGUGAAAACCAAAGGCUUAACCUUUGGCGUGCGGGCGAUACGGGCAGACUGGAGUACUGCAGGGGAGACUGGAAUUCCUGGUGUAGCGGUGGAAUGCGCAGAUAUCAGGAGGAACACCGGUGGCGAAGGCGGGUCUCUGGGCAGUAACUGACGCUGAGGAGCGAAAGCGUGGGGAGCAAACAGGAUUAGAUACCCUGGUAGUCCACGCCGUAAACGGUGGGUACUAGGUGUGGGUUUCCU
rnacentral:rRNA from 1 species